CUGGCGGCAUGCCUAACACAUGCAAGUCGAACGGGACUCUUACGGACGAGGCUUCGGCCAAGAAAGUUUGAGUUUAGUGGCGGACGGGUGAGUAACGCGUGAGCAACCUGCCUUUCAGAGGGGACAACAGUUGGAAACGACUGCUAAUACCGCAUGAUAUACGAGAGGGGCAUCCCUUUUGUAUCAAAGAUUUAUCGCUGAAAGAUGGGCUCGCGUCUGAUUAGAUAGUUGGCGGGGUAACGGCCCACCAAGUCGACGAUCAGUAGCCGGACUGAGAGGUUGAACGGCCACAUUGGGACUGAGAUACGGCCCAGACUCCUACGGGAGGCAGCAGUGGGGAAUAUUGGUCAAUGGGGGCAAACCCCCUGAACCAGCAAUGCCGCGUGAAGGAAGAAGGCCUUCGGGUUGUAAACUUCUUUGACGAGGGACGAUAAUGACGGUACCUCGAAAACAAGCCACGGCUAACUACGUGCCAGCAGCUGC
rnacentral:rRNA from 1 species